GCCCCUUCGGGGGUACUCGAGUGGCGAACGGGUGAGUAACACGUGGGCAAUCUGCCCUGCACUUCGGGAUAAGCCUGGGAAACUGGGUCUAAUACCGGAUAGGACCUUUAGGCGCAUGUCUUUAGGUGGAAAGCUUUUGCGGUGUGGGAUGGGCCCGCGGCCUAUCAGCUUGUUGGUGGGGUGAUGGCCUACCAAGGCGACGACGGGUAGCCGGCCUGAGAGGGUGUCCGGCCACACUGGGACUGAGAUACGGCCCAGACUCCUACGGGAGGCAGCAGUGGGGAAUAUUGCACAAUGGGCGCAAGCCUGAUGCAGCGACGCCGCGUGGGGGAUGACGGCCUUCGGGUUGUAAACCUCUUUCACCAUCGACGAAGGUCCGGGUUUUCUCGGAUUGACGGUAGGUGGAGAAGAAGCACCGGCCAACUACGUGCCAGCAGCCGCGGUAAUACGUAGGGUGCGAGCGUUGUCCGGAAUUACUGGGCGUAAAGAGCUCGUAGGUGGUUUGUCGCGUUGUUCGUGAAAUCUCACGGCUUAACUGUGAGCGUGCGGGCGAUACGGGCAGACUAGAGUACUGCAGGGGAGACUGGAAUUCCUGGUGUAGCGGUGGAAUGCGCAGAUAUCAGGAGGAACACCGGUGGCGAAGGCGGGUCUCUGGGCAGUAACUGACGCUGAGGAGCGAAAGCGUGGGGAGCGAACAGGAUUAGAUACCCUGGUAGUCCACGCCGUAAACGGUGGGUACUAGGUGUGGGUUUCCUUCCUUGGGAUCCGUGCCGUAGCUAACGCAUUAAGUACCCCGCCUGGGGAGUACGGCCGCAAGGCUAAAACUCAAAGGAAUUGACGGGGGCCCGCACAAGCGGCGGAGCAUGUGGAUUAAUUCGAUGCAACGCGAAGAACCUUACCUGGGUUUGACAUGCACAGGACGCGUCUAGAGAUAGGCGUUCCCUUGUGGCCUGUGUGCAGGUGGUGCAUGGCUGUCGUCAGCUCGUGUCGUGAGAUGUUGGGUUAAGUCCCGCAACGAGCGCAACCCUUGUCUCAUGUUGCCAGCGGGUAAUGCCGGGGACUCGUGAGAGACUGCCGGGGUCAACUCGGAGGAAGGUGGGGAUGACGUCAAGUCAUCAUGCCCCUUAUGUCCAGGGCUUCACACAUGCUACAAUGGCCGGUACAAAGGGCUGCGAUGCCGCAAGGUUAAGCGAAUCCUUUUAAAGCCGGUCUCAGUUCGGAUUGGGGUCUGCAACUCGACCCCAUGAAGUCGGAGUCGCUAGUAAUCGCAGAUCAGCAACGCUGCGGUGAAUACGUUCCCGGGCCUUGUACACACCGCCCGUCACGUCAUGAAAGUCGGUAACACCCGAAGCCAGUGGCCUAACC
rnacentral:rRNA from 1 species